GUGCCAGCCGCCGCGGUAAUACGGAGGGUGCGAGCGUUAAUCGGAAUUACUGGGCGUAAAGCGCGCGUAGGCGGCCUGAUAAGUUGGAUGUGAAAGCCCCGGGCUUAACCUGGGAACUGCAUUUAAUACUGGGUAACUAGAGUAUGGGAGAGGAGAUUGGAAUUCCUGGUGUAGAGGUGAAAUUCGUAGAUAUCAGGAGGAACACCGGUGGCGAAGGCGACUUCCUGGACCAAUACUGACGCUGAGGUGCGAAGGCGUGGGUAGCAAACAGGAUUAGAAACCCUGGUAGUCC
rnacentral:rRNA from 1 species